UAGCAAUAGCAGCUAUAGCAGCAUGGACAGAAACAGGUCAUGUUUACUGAGAGCCUGAUCAGGAUCAGGCACAGGAUUAGCAUUUUACAUGGAUCGAUAAGUUUAGCCUUGAGGAAAUCCCAGUUACAGAGGCACUAUUAUGAUCAUCCCCAUUUUACAGCUGGAAAAACUGAGGCUCAGUGGCCACUCUUGCGGUCUACAGUGGUCUUGCCCUAGACCACGAAGAGAGAGAGAAGGGUGUCUGGGGCCCAAAUUCCAAGUCUGUCUGGCAUCAGAACACUUGCUUAUAAAAAUUACACUGGAUGAUGUGUGGCCAGUCGCUCAAUCAUGUCAAACUCUUUGCUACAGUCCAUGGGGUCGCAAAAGUCAGACACGACUGAGCGACUUCACUUUCACUUUCACCUGAACUACUUCACGUGAAAUCCAGUUGACAGAUUGAGAAUUUAGGUGACUUCUUCUAAGAGUCUGCACCAGGGGCUGCUCAUCAUCUAAUUUUCUGGACUCACAACUCAGUUGAUAUCUAUACUCCUCAAUCCCUUAUGGUAGGUGGGAGAUGGAGGCUCUUUGAAGGUAUGGGGGUGGCUGGGAGGGGUCUUUGGAAUGGCUUUCUCUCUCCAAUGCUCAGAUCAUCCCCUGGAGAAAGCCUGCUGCCAUUUUGACUCUACGAUCAUUUAAUGUGAUGAAGAGUUGCCGUAGCAACAUGAUUCCUGCAUCAGGUUGACAUAAAUUCAUGCUUGCCUAGUUUGAAAACAAAAAUUGAACAUUCAGUCUCCACCAGAGAAUUUAUACAUAAGAACAGAUAGUAGCUACUGACUUUAUUAUUUAAAAAAAAAAUUAGUGUUGGUUUGAACAUAUACAGAAGUAGAGGUGAGUGUAAUGAAGCUUUCCAUGUCUAUUGCCAUCUUUAAUAGCCAUUAACAUAUGGCCAAUCUUGUUUCCUUUCUAUCCUCCUUCCUUCUCCAGCCGUAACCCACUGUCUUAUUUUUUAAGCAAAUCCCAGCUAUCAUAUCAUUUCAUCCACUAACACCUCAGUUUGAAUCUCUAAGAGGCAAGGACCCUUUUUUUUUUUUUUGACCACACCGUGAGACAUGCUAGAUCUUAGCUCCUUGACUAGGAGUUGAACCAGACCCACCUGCAGUGGAAGCGAGGAUUCUUAACAGUG
ensembl:lncRNA